UCCCACGCUAAUCCCUAACUAUUAAAAAAAACUAUAUAGUGCGGGACUUCCUAGAUUUUCUGGAUUUUAAAAUUAGAACACCAUGUGCACAACCUUUCUUUCGUUUUGCUAAACGCCGGAUAUGACGUCACCGAGUUCACACAGUGAACAUCGAAUCAAUACAAACGUCUAUUUCUAAGAUCUAAGAUCAUUGGUGUCCCUCUCACUGGAUUAUCAGACAUCUACGACUCCCGCCUCACCCGCAAAGCCAUCAGGAUCGCGGGUGACCCAUCCCACCCAUCCCAGAGCCACUUCAGCCUGCUGCCAUCAGGGAGGAGACUGCAAAGUCUACGGGCCAGGACCAGCAGGCUCAGAGACAGUUUCCUCCACCAGGCCAUCAGAAAGCUCAACUCCCUCCCAGCCCUCCCCUCUCUGCCCCCACCCCCUGCUGCUACAAGCUAAAGACAAAAGGAGAACAUUCAUGCCUGCAUCUGAAGAACACUGCCACUUUAAACAUAAUUUAUCUACAUAGCCUUUGCACUACAAUACUGAAAAUUCUGUAAAUUUUGUACAUUAUACUUUUAUAUUUACAUUCUUCUUUUUUAUUCUUAAUAUUAUUAUUAUUAUUACUGUAAUUAGUGUUGCUGUUUGCACAAAGGGAGGAGAGAGGAAGAAAUUUCAUCUGUGCUUUGUAUGCCCUGUACUCAGCAUAUUUGACAAAUAAAAGCCUACUUGACUUGACUUGACUUGAUUUGUGUUCUGAUGAUGAAAAUGUGGAUGGUUCAUUAAAAAAUUACAUUCAAAGACGUUUUUUUCGCAAAAAAAUGUUCGACCGCAAUGCAUUGUGGUCUAAAUUCGCUAAUGUAGUGAGCAUUGAUGCAUGCUAGUUUUUUUGCAGACUUCUAUAAAAUUUCCAGUCCACCUGAUUUUGGGAUUGUAGAUUAGGACAGCACUAGAAAGUGGCGAAAGGCAUUAUAUAGUGCACCAUAUAAUCAGAAGGGAAGGAAUUCGGACAUAGCCAAGUUGGACCGUCACACAUGCAGGGUGAAGAUAACAACAACAAUAGAGGUCAUCCAGUGGCUCAUAACCAAAAGUCGUCACUCAUUCAACGAUGUCCCAUAGUACCUACUUUUUCUGGUUCAUCACAUUGUUUCAUUUUUUUUAUAUAUCUGGAAAAUUUACUGUUGUUUUCUGAAAAACCUUCAAAUUUUUUUCUUCUUUUUUUGUUUCUGGAGUCUCUAAAACUUUAUUUUUUAUUACUUGUUUUGUUUUUAUAAUUUUUUUUCUUUAAAUUUCCUUUACCAUGAGGGAUUUGUCGGUGUGGUUAGCACUUCAGUGCAGGGGGCGGAGCUAUAUCAUUUUAUAUGGGGGGGGAAGGGCGCAGAAGACUUUGGAAGCAAAGUGGAAGGCAAGUCCAAAGACUUUUUUUUUUAUUUAAAGUUAUUGGUUUUGGUGGGGUAACACUUAAAGAAGCUUCUGUUGAUGAUUUCUUUAUUUUUGUUAAUAAUUACACUAAUAUUGAUUCAAACAUUUUAGGGGGACAACGCUUUUUGGUGGAGGGGGCACCCCGAGCCCCCUGUAGCUCCGCCCCUGCUUCAGGGCCACCGUACAGUUCUCUGGGAUAAUUUGGAAAAGAGUUCCAAGGUUGAAACUCAAAGGCUAAAGUUUCAAACAUGCUAAUAAGAUUGUUUUCACGCAUUUGAAUAAAACAAUCAAGCUACUACAGAAAAGAAGAAGAAGAAAAAGAACGUAAAAUGAGAAAAAGCUAGAAGUCGGGGUGGCAGGCAUACAGAUCAAUACCAAGAUAAAGAGACCAAAAAAAGCAGUUUAUUGAUUUCAUUUUCCUACAGAGCAAAGAGUAGUUUUGCUCAGCACACAGCAGAAGCCACAAGUCAGACGUUUCAGCAGCGAUUGUUAGUAAUUUAUCAGUCUUCAAGGCGUCUGCUUAGAAGGCCUUAGAAAAAAAGAAUCCAACUCUUUGAUUUCUAAUUAUACACAAUGUCGGCACAGGCUGGCUCUGACACACAGGAGCAGAAAGCCAAUACGUUCUGGUAGCUCUCCACAGGGAUCACUCUGACCUGCUAACUGAAAGAAGAGUCGGAUGGGCCGGCUGCCCAGAACCAGCAUUUCUAAAUAUCCUGCUUUCUCUAAAAUAUCUUUUCUGGAGUGUGUCGGUUCAGUCUGGCAUAACGAGAGCUGAGUGCAGCGGCCUGGAUCUGGGCUGCACGUCUGUUAAGUGACAUUCUCCACAGUCCGCCGCUGUCGUGGAAGCUCUGCAAGCGGGAUGCGAUCCGACGACUGACACGGGGAGGACAACGGGGAGAGACGCAGAAUGCAAAAGGCGGGGAAGCUGCAUUCCGGAUUCAAAGGAGGGGUGCAGCACACAGACAAGCUCGAACGGGAAAACAAAUGCUAUAUGCAGACAGGACCGAGAUGUGGGAGGAUGGAGGAUGAGGCGAGUGUUGCUACUGCACCUGUGAGUCCGACUUCUCGGAGGGUUUUUCGGUCAGGCUGCUGCUCUCUGCGGGGAUCAAGUCGUUGUACUUGGUGCUCAAGUCUUCGUCGGAGUAAUGGAGACUGCCAGGACUCGGCCUGGGAGGAGACCUGGACAAACGACACCGGAAAAGUUGACAUUUAUUUAGUUAAUGAAGACUAUAAUCAACUGACUAUGACACCCUCUUAUUGAGUAAAUUCCUACUGUGCCCUGCAGGGGGAGUAAAAGCAGGUUAAGAAACAGCGCCGUUUGGUGGCGACCCAAGUCUGAAUUGAAUUGAUUGGUUGGACUAGUGGUUUGAAAAAAAAAAACAAAUGGAAGUUCCCUCAAGCAAACUGUACCAUACCCCCUUCAUACACCUCUAUCACACAACAAACUGUGACAAUCAACAUGAAUCAGCAGAUUCUGCCUCAUCAGCUUUGGAUUGAUAUGCAACACUUUUCUAACGUAACAUAUUUCUCAGGCCCUAUAGUCACAUGUCCCGUUAAUGAUGGAUAGAGGCUGUCCGUGGGCAAAAACAGAGCAAACCUGUAUGGGGCACACUUCUAAGCCCCUAAGGAGAAAAUGUUCAUGCACUUUUUUUUCUAUGGGUGUGCUGCGGGCGAGAGGUUGUAGCAAUCUUUUGCUCUGAAAAAUCUUUUGGUUUGAAAUCGACAGGGUUCUCUCGGUUACGUAACUUGAGUGUUACUAGUAGUCUGGCGGCGUGGAAACACGAGAAAAGUUGGAUGUGGAACUUUUCUUUGCAAAGGAAUAAGUAAUAAGCGCAAGGAUGGAAAAACAAAAACUAAAUAAAUAAAAA